AUUGAACGCUGGCGGCAUGCCUUACACAUGCAAGUCGAACGGUAACAGGUCUUCGGAUGCUGACGAGUGGCAAACGGGUGAGUAAUACAUCGGAACGUGCCUAGUAGUGGGGGAUAACUACUCGAAAGAGUGGCUAAUACCGCAUGAGAUCUACGGAUGAAAGCAGGGGAUCGCAAGACCUUGUGCUACUAGAGCGGCCGAUGGCAGGUUAGGUAGUUGGUGGGAUAAAAGCUUACCAAGCCGAAGAUCUGUAGCUGGUCUGAGAGGGCGAUCAGCCACACUGGGACGGAGACACGGCCCCGACUCCUACGGGAGGCAGCAUUGGGGAAUUUUGGACAAUGGGCGCAAGCCUGAUCCAGCAAUGCCGCGUGCAGGAUGAAGGCCUUCGGGUUGUAAACUGCUUUUGUACGGAACGAAAAGCCCUGGGUUAAUACCCUGGGGUCAUGACGGUACCGUAAGAAUAAGCACCGGCUAACUACGUGCCAGCCGCCGCCGUAAAAC
rnacentral:rRNA from 1 species